GGAGCGGUAGAGGGGGGGUCGGGGAGCGGUAGAGGGGGGGUCGGGGAGCGGUAGAGGGGGGGUUGGGGUAGAGGGGGUCGGGGAGCGGUAGAGGGGGGGUUGGGGAGCGGUAGAGAGGGUCGGGGAGCGGUAGAGGGGGGUAGAGGGGAUUGGGGUAGAGGGCGUCGGCCCAUGUUCAUAGUCUCGACCCCCUAGUGA